UAGGGAAUCUUCCACAAUGGGCGGCAAGCCUGAUGGAGCAACGCCGCGUGAGUGAAGAAGGUCUUCGGAUCGUAAAACUCUGUUGUUAGAGAAGAACACGAGUGAGAGUAACUGUUCAUUCGAUGACGGUAUCUAACCAGCAAGUCACGGCUAACUACGUGCCAG
rnacentral:rRNA from 1 species